GCGUGCCUAACACAUGCAAGUCGAACGAGAAAGCUCCUUCGGGAGUGAGUAGAGUGGCGCACGGGUGAGUAACACGUGGAUAAUCUGCCUGAUAAUCUGGGAUAACAUUCCGAAAGGGAUGCUAAUACCGGAUAAGCCCACAGCCUCUUCGGAGGCAGCGGGAAAAGAUGGCCUCUUCUUGAAAGCUAUUGUUAUCAGAUGAGUCCGCGGUCCAUUAGCUAGUUGGUAGGGUAAUGGCCUACCAAGGCGACGAUGGAUAGCUGGUUUGAGAGAAUGAUCAGCCACACUGGAACUGAGACACGGUCCAGACUCCUACGGGAGGCAGCAGUGGGGAAUUUUGCGCAAUGGGGGAAACCCUGACGCAGCAACGCCGCGUGAGUGAUGAAGGUUUUCGGAUCGUAAAGCUCUGUCAAGAGGGAAGAAACCUCCGACGGCUAAUACCUGUUGGAAUUGACGGUACCUCUAGAGGAAGCACCGGCUAACUCCGUGCCAGCAGCCGCGGUAAUACGGAGGGUGCAAGCGUUGUUCGGAAUUAUUGGGCGUAAAGCGCGUGUAGGCGGUUAGUUAAGUCUGAUGUGAAAGCCCCGGGCUCAACCUGGGAAGCGCAUUGGAAACUGGCAAACUUGAGUACGGGAGAGGGAAGUGGAAUUUCGAGUGUAGGGGGUGAAAUCCGUAGAUAUUCGAAGGAACACCAGUGGCGAAGGCGGCUUCCUGGACCGAUACUGACGCUGAGACGCGAAAGCGUGGGGAGCAAACAGGAUUAGAUACCCUGGUAGUCCACGCCGUAAACGAUGGGUACUAGGUGUUGCGGGUAUUGACCCCUGCAGUGCCGA
rnacentral:rRNA from 1 species